rnacentral:rRNA from 1 species
AUUGACGUUACCGACAGAAGAAGCACCGGCUAACUCCGUGCCAGCAGCCGCGGUAAUACGGAGGGUGCAAGCGUUAAUCGGAAUUACUGGGCGUAAAGCGCACGCAGGCGGUUGAUUAAGUUAGAUGUGAAAUCCCCGGGCUUAACCUGGGAAUGGCAUCUAAAACUGGUCAGCUAGAGUCUUGUAGAGGGGGGUAGAAUUCCAUGUGUAGCGGUGAAAUGCGUAGAGAUGUGGAGGAAUACCGGUGGCGAAGGCGGCCCCCUGGACAAAGACUGACGCUCAGGUGCGAAAGCGUGGGGAGCAAACAGGAUUAGAUACCCCGGUAGUCAA